rnacentral:rRNA from 1 species
UAGGGAAUAUUGCUCAAUGGGGGAAACCCUGAAGCAGCAACGCCGCGUGGAGGAUGAAGGUUUUAGGAUUGUAAAGCUCUGUCAGCAGGAACGACGAUGACGGUACCUGAAGAAGAAGCCCCGGCUAACUACGUGCCAGCAGCCGCGGUAAUACGUAGGGAGCGAGCGUUAUCCGGAUUUAUUGGGUGUAAAGGGUGCGUAGACGGGAAUACAAGUUGGUUGUGAAAGCCCUCGGCUUAACUGAGGAACUGCAACCAAAACUAUAUUUCUUGAGUAUCGGAGAGGAAAGUGGAAUUCCUAGUGUAGCGGUGAAAUGCGUAGAUAUUAGGAGGAACACCAGUGGCGAAGGCGACUUUCUGGACGAAAACUGACGUUGAGGCACGAAAGUGUGGGGAGCAAACAGG